rnacentral:lncRNA from 1 species
CUUGUACUAGAUUUUAAGAAAAUGUUUUUUGAGCGCUUGCUAUGCCACAUAAUGCAGUGUGUGUAUACAUGUGUGUAUACACACACAUAAACACACACACACAACAUAUUAACAUAAUCAUUAAGCCGUCACAAUAAACCUGAUGGAGUAAAAUGGAAAAGACAGAAGUUUAGGGGAGUUCUGAAAUGUUCCAAGGUUAUACAACAAAUGCUGAUCAUCUAAUCCACGGAAUAUACUUGAACAAAGCCUAAGCCCACAGGAUUAGCAGUAUUGUCAUAUAUCUCCUCCAUAACCCCUAAAGUGCAUAUUGUGUGUCAAUAUUUCCACUAGUGAGAUCUAGAGACUCACUGUUGUCCCUUCAGUGAUCUAUCAAAACAAUAUACUGCCUAGAGGGAAUAACUUAUUCUAAAUGUUAGAAUAAGUUAUUAAGAACUAGUAAUAAAAAAGCACAAUAUGGCAUAAAAAAGUAGUGAGGAUUUAAGUAUCUGAAAUAUUUCAUAAGAUUCCUAUGAAAUGUUAUUAGAAGGAAAAUGUAGGUGUUAAAAAUAGGGCAACGUAGUAUUUUUUCACAUACUAGAGAAGAUCGAUGAAUCCCUGUAGGAAAACCUACAAGUUCUCUUUUUCCUUUUCUUUUUUUAUUUUGGACACAGGGUCUCGCUAUGUUGCCCAGGCUGAACUCAAAAGUCUUGGGCCCAAGCGAACCUCCUACCUUGCCGUCCUGAGUAGCUGGGACUACAGGCACAUGCCACCAUGCCCAGCUCUUCCAGUUCUUUGAACUAUCCAAAUACAUGUUAUGUUGGUGAUACAAAUCUGUGGUAAAGAAUUACUUCAGAUUGGUGAGAUUUGGAUAUAUGUUUCCAUAUACCCAUACCUAUUGUGGAGGCCACCUUGAUAAGUUCCUGUGGCAGACUAUCUUGUCCAUCUGCACACCCUUAUUGCCUAGCACAGUACCUAUCACAUAGUUUGAACUCAAUAUCUGUUGACUUAAUGAAGAAAGAAGAGAAAAAAGUUUCAUGUGUCCUUGGUUACAGGACCCAUGUUAUUUCUCUCCACUCCUUCCCCUAACAUCCCAAAGGAAAAUAAUAUGAAUAUUUCUUUCUUUUUUUUUUUGACAGGGUCUCACUCACUUUGUCAUCCAGGCUGGAGUGCAGUGGUGGGAUCUCAGCUCACUGCAACCUCCACCUCUUGGGUUUAAGCAAUUCUCCUGCCUCAGCCUCCCAAGUAACUGGGAUUACAGGUGCAUGCCACCACGCCUAGCUAAUUUUUGUAUUUUUAGUUGAGAAGGGGUUUUGCCACAUUGGCCAGGCUGGUCUUGGAACUCCUGACUUCAGGUGAUCUCCCUGCCUCAGCCUCCCAAAGUGAUGGGAUUACAGGUGUGAGCCACCAUGCCUGGCCAAUAGUGUGAAUAUUUCUGAUCUACCUAAAGAAAAAUGUUCACCAGCCAUUCUAUUUCUCUGUGCAAUCACUAACCAUAUGGAAUUUGAUGGUUUGAUAAUUGCUCCAUAAGGAAUAAAAUAAUAUUCACCUUUUCAAGAAAAAAACCCCUUAAAUACUAAAAUGUACUUAGGUGAAUGAAUAAGAGGAGCCACAAAUAAAAGUGAAUUAUCCAAUAUAGAGUAAGUCCUUAUCAUCAAUAGGUUCUUGGAAACUGUGACUUUAAGAGAAACAAUACAUAACGAAACAAAUUUUUUUUCUUAUUAACUUUGUAACAAAAGCAACUAUGUUGAAGGAAAACAGUGUAAUUUGAGGACCUGAUGUACAUGGUGUCUCUUAAAGUCACAAUUUCCAAGAACCUAUCCACAAUGUUCAGUGAGGACUUUACUGUACUUGACUUUUGAAUUUAUACUGUGACUAUAUUUUAUCAAAAACAAAUGUGAAGAGUUUGCCUUUAUACAUGGCUGAGGACAAUUUCGUAUAAAUUCAGUUUCUAUGGUUUUGGAUCUAAGUUAAGGAAGUACUGAGAUAAUAUAAGGUAGUGUGAAUAUAGAAACCCAAGGACAGCCCGCUCCAGUGAGGCUGCAGCAUAUCAGUGUUUGCAGUUCCCUCUAACUCAGCAAUAGGUGUAGGCUGACAAGAUACGUGGCAAUGGGUAAGUAACUAUCCUGGGAUGAAAAAUUUGCCACAAUACAAACCACAGGUUAUCAAGAGUUGACUCUGCUUUAUGAUAGAGCACUGCUUUUCAACUUUAAUGUGUACCCAGGAGCUCACUAGAAUUCAGAUUCUGAUCCAGCAGGUCCACUUGGGGCCUGAGGAUCUGCAUUUCUAACAAGCCUCCAAGUGAUGCUGUUGCUGCUGGUCCAGAGACCAAGUAAAAUGAAACAAAAAACUAACAACAACUUUUGAGCAAGCACUGCAGAGAUUUCCCUGUAAAUUUUAUGUUCUCGGCAGGGUGUGGUGGUUCAAGGCCUGUAAACCCAGCACUUUGGGAGGCUGAGGCGGGUGGAUCACUUGAGGUCAGGAGUUCGAGACCAGCCUGACCAACAUGGCGAAACCUCAUCUCUACUAAAAAUACAAAAAUUAGGCCAGGUGCAGUGGCUCACACCUGUAAUCCCAGCACUUUGGGAAGCCGAGGUGGGUGGAUCAUGAGGUCAGGAGAUCGAGACCAUCUUGGCCAACAUGGUGAAACCCCAUCUCUACUAAAAUACAAAAAACUAGCCAAGCAUGAUGGCACUUGCCUGCAGUGCCAGCUACUCAGGUGGCUGAGGCAGGGGAAUCGCUUGAACCAGGCAGGCGGAGGUUGUAGUGAGCUGAGAUCACGCCACUGCACUCCAGCCUGGUGACAGAGCAAGACUCCGUCUCAAAAAAAAAAAAAAAAAAAAAUUAGCUGGGCAUGGUAGCGCACAUCUGUAAUCCCAGCUACUGGGGAGGCUGAGGCAGGAGAAUUGCUUGAACCCAGGAGAUGGAGGCAGUGAGCCGAGAUCGCACCACUGCACUCCACCCUGAGUGACAGAGUGAGACUCCAUCUCAAAAAAAAAAAAAAAAAGUAUGUUCUCAUCAUAAAAUGAGAAAUUAAAAGUUUAAAAGAUUAGAUAAACAUAAUAGUUCUUAUAUUUUCCUCCCUACUUAUUAAGCAACUACUCUGUAUUAUUAGAAAUCUAAAGUUCAGGUAUUCUUUAAUUUUAGUUUCUGGAUUUUACCAAAAAAAAAAAAAAAAAGCGGUGUGACUUGUCUGUAGUAAAUUGUUGGGUAAUCUUCUAUUAGUGUAACGAUCUAAAAUCUUUCUAUCCAUUUCCAUAAAGUAAUAAAAUUAGGAAAAAUAUUUUAAUUUACUGUGGAAAGAGAAAAUUAUCCUAAACAAGCUUAAAGACAUUAAGAUAGCAAACCAUUCCAACUAGAUUUUAUUGAUACCUUGUGUCGUCACAUCAGAAUCUCAUGUUCUCGAUCAUCUGCUAGUGACAGAUCUAUUUGGAAUAUUAACCUUGGCUUUAAAAUCGUGAUAAGAGCAGAGCCUCACUUGAGAGGUACACUAAGAAGAACCAACCAUGUGGAAGAAAGGUGCAUAGAAGCUCAUGUGAGUAAGUAGAACUCUACCAGUUGUAGGAGGCUCAUCAUUCCCUCAAACCCCAGUCCAGAAUAGCCGCAAAAUAGGUAUCAUGCGCCAUACUAUAUUUUCACCACAAAUCUGUAAAUAACGUUUUUUGUUAUGGGAUCCCACAUGAAAUAGAAACCUAAAUGUUUCUUGAUAUUAAUGGAACUCUACCCUACUGCAAACAUAAUUUGUUAAUUCUCAUCUCUGUGCCUUCUUCAAAGAUGUUCUGUCUAAAACGGACUUCUUUCUUGUAUCUGCCAGUGCAUAUCAUGUUUUUCAUAAUCUAGCUCAAGAUUCUGAUCUACUGAGGCUGCCUUGAUGAAUCUUCCCCCAAAUGAUCACUUCAUUGCUUUGAAUAAAUAAUGUAAGAGGUAUAGCUGUAAUACAUUAUCCACAACUUGAUUUUCAAUGUCCUUCAGAGUUUAGAGUUUUCUUAUAUUUCUAUCUGUUUUCCCAAAUAGAGUAUUAAUUUCUCAAGGGAAACAUAAUACUUUGGGUUUUUUUUUUUUUUUUUUGCUUCUUCUAUCUUCUAUAGAGCUUAGUAAUAGUCACCGGCAGGCAGAAUUCCUUAAAUAUUUGAAUUCUGCUGUAUCUUAGGCUCUCAUGUCUUCAAAUCUAUAACCCUUAGGCUCCAAUUUAAUACCUUGGGAGGACAGCCUGGCUCUCUGUUCCUCUGCACAGCUACCCAGCUUAAGUUAUAAAACAGGGCAACAGAGGUCUAUAAUGUUCCUUUCAACUGCCACUUAGCCCCCAAUCAAGGAUUGAUUUGUAAGUCAAUCCUUUCAUCAAUUCUCAGUGAGCAACAAUCUAAUGUUAUCCUUGCUCCUAUUUCUUAACUAGCCCCUAUAACUUCCUGUCACUUGCUCCAAACUAAAACAUUACAAGAUUCACCACUGUGUGUGAUUCUCAGCUAUUCACCUUCUCUUAGCAAUUUUCCCUUGGUUUGGUAAUGAUGAGACACCAACAAUAAAUAUUUGCAGAGGAAGUUCAGAUUCAAAAAUUCAUCUUUCUCUGAUGAAGUAAGGUAAAGGUACCACUGCCAACUGACUGAAAAUUUUGAAAAAAGACAAAGUCUGGGGCAAUUUGACAGCCCAUAAAUGAAUCAUCUUCUACAUAGUUUUAAAAAACUAUAACUAAAACUAUAGUUUUAAAAAAACUGUAUAACUAAAAGGUCUUUUACUGGGAUUGGAAUUUUGUGCAUCUAUUUGGCUGGACAUAGUAUGGACACUGGGCCUUCUAAACCAAGGUUUCAUGGAAAGAAUUAACCCCUAAUUCCUUAGGCAUCUCUUGUAUGUAAUAAAUUACCUAGUAUCAUUCAAGAAAUAUGUAUAGAGAAAAGUCAGGUGCCCUCCAGAAGAGUCCCUCAAAUCAUUUUCUAUGUUCUGUGAUUUCAGACGAGAAACCCCAGCUGAGGAGGCAAAUAUACUCAAGGAAAGUAAUAGUUUCCAAAUGCCUGGCAGUGCCAGGAAGGGGCCAUGUCCAUGGACCACUAUGUAAGGAUAUCUCAGUCUCUAGUCCAGCGUGGUUUAUGGUGCCAAAUAAGUGCCAGGUGAACUCACUACAUCUGACAAAAUCUCAAGGAACCAAGUUUACCAGAUAAUAUUUAUGAUUAUGUGAAAAAGACUGAGGAAAUCACUCAAGUGAUCCAUCAUACAGCACCUCCAGUUCCAAAGAAUACUGACUUACUUCAGGUGAUAACACUCUACCAUUUUUAAGUUUUUCAUCCACAUUGUGUCUGCGUUUCUGGAGCUGAUCCUUUUCUUUCUGGAGGACUUCAACUUGUUCUGAAAUCUUUGUUUUCUCCUCAGCUGUACUGGUCUGGAGCUGCACAUUCUUUUCAGACAACUCUUGUUCCAGUAAGUUCAGGCUAGAGUGCAAUGGUGCAACCUCAGCUCACUGCAACCUCCGCUUCCCAGGUUCAAGCGAUUCUCCUGCUUCAGCCUCCCUGGUUGCUGGGAUUACAGGUGCUCAUCACCAUGUGCAGCUAAUUUUUUGUAUUUUUAGUAGAGACAGGGUUUUACCAUGUUGCCCAGGCUGGUCUCGAACUCCUGACCUCAGGUGAUCCACCCACCUCAGCCCCCCAAAGUUCUGAGAUUACAGACGUGAGACACUGCACCCGACCGGGGUGUUCAUUUUCUAAAAUCUUAAGUUGAAUGCCUUUUAAAAAAAAAAAGUCUAUUUAAACUCUGAGUUUACUGCCAAGAAUUGCCUUGACUAGGUUUUCAGAGGCAGUAUUUUUCUUUUUCCUUAUUUUCUAAAUUGAACUUUUCUUUCUUGGCUUACAUUCUACAUUGUAGAAUUAUGUUACAAUUUACUAGGGGUUGAGAUGUGGUGUGUUUAAACAUAUGAUUGGUUGGCUUAAACAUAUAAUUUGUUUUUACUUGUAUUUCAUUCUGAUCAGAAAAUAUGGUCAGAUUUAUGGAGAUGUUCACUAUGGUCAAAUAUCAGGUAAUUUGUAAAUUACUGUUCACAGUAAUUAUUUGUAUAUACUACCAUAAGGUUUAUUAUAGAGACACAUACUAUCAUAAGGUUUAUAACUUUAAAAAAGCAUUCCCCUCCCCCAAGCUUUUAAUUGAAUCCUACUCCAAGACGGCCACCUUCAACCUUUUCAGUUGGUUCUUCUGGUGUUUAUGUCCAUGUUUCUAAAUGGCAUUAUCAAUUUUAGACAUUGUCUACUGACUAUGUAUUAUGGGAGAUAAGGAUUUAGCACUCUUGUACCUACUCUACUUCCCAACCUCCUCCAUUCUCCCAAUAUAAGUUACAUUACAGUUUUUAGUUAAAUCAAUAUUCAUUUUCAUUAUUAUAACUUUGUUAUUCAUAGGUGAACUAUCUAGUGUGAAAUGAUCAUGCUUCUGUUUUGAUACAACUUUUUAUUGCACCUUAUAGCUAAUUCUUCUCCAACAGAACUAUAAAAUUCCUCAACACUUUUUCAUUUAUCAAACUUAUCAGGAAAUCUUUUCAAUCUAUUCUUUUCUGGAAACAUUUUGCCUGGAGCAUCCAUCCUCCUGCUCCACACUGGACCAGUUGUCCUGGGUCUUCCCUUUGGUAUUUCCUGAGAAUUUCCAUGUUGGAGCACAUUUUCAGAAUCCUGAGUCUUCCUUUUUCAUAGUUUGUGCCCUUAUUUUUGUGGAGCACAUUCUCUAGUAGUUUCCCUGGAUAGGCUUGAUGGGAGAUUUUUUUUUUUUUUACCUGAAAAUGCUUAUUCUAGCUUCACAUUUGAUUGUUUGGCUAAGAAGAAAAUUAUUUAUUAGACUUAAUUUUCCUCACGAGUUUAAAGAUUGCUUCAGAUCUUAAACUUCUAAUGAGGAAAGCUGAGAAGUCCAAUGCCAUUCUGAUUCUUGCAACUUACAAGUAGUCUUUUUUGUCUAGACGCUUUCAGGACCUUCUUUUUUCCUCAGUCAGUGUAUCCAAACCUUCACAGUGAUAUCUUUUGGGUACUCAUUUUGCUGGCCCCUUGAUGGGCUAUUUCUUU